AAUAAAUCAAUCUUUCACUUUUUAUUUACAAUGUUUGACUCUUCGUCUUAUUUGAAAAAAAUUACAAUUAAUAUUUUUAUUUUUAUUAAAUGAUAAAUCAUGAAUAGUAAUUUAUGUGUAACUAAAUUUUUUUAUAAUUUCUUAAAAAAAUUUAAAUAAAACGGGUGGUCAAACGCUAGACAUGAAAAU
rnacentral:pre_miRNA from 1 species